rnacentral:tRNA from 1 species
UGAGCAGCAGUUCAGUGGUAGAGCUCCCGCUUCGUAUGUGGGAAAACCUGGGUGCGAUUCCCGACUGCUUAC